rnacentral:rRNA from 1 species
GACGAACGCUGGCGGCGUGCUUAACACAUGCAAGUCGAACGGAAAGGCCCUGCUUUUGUGGGGUGCUCGAGUGGCGAACGGGUGAGUAACACGUGAGUAACCUGCCCUUGACUUUGGGAUAACUUCAGGAAACUGGGGCUAAUACCGGAUAGGAGCUCCUGCUGCAUGGUGGGGGUUGGAAAGUUUCGGCGGUUGGGGAUGGACUCGCGGCUUAUCAGCUUGUUGGUGGGGUAGUGGCUUACCAAGGCUUUGACGGGUAGCCGGCCUGAGAGGGUGACCGGCCCCCUUGGGACGGGGGUACGGCCCAGACUCCUUCGGGGGGCAAGAGGGGGGGAUUUUGCACAAUGGGGCGGAGCCUGAAGGAACAACCCCGGGUUGGGGAAGGCGGCCCUUGGGUUUGUAACCGCUUUCGCCUUGGACGGAGCGGUGGGUACGGGAAUGGGGUAAGGAGCACCGGCUAACUUCGUU